rnacentral:rRNA from 12 species
UUUGCUAACCAUCCUGUGAGUGCCAGAUCCCCUGGCACUCCCCUGGUCUGGUUAGUACUUGGGUGGGAGACCACUGUGGAAGACCAGGGGCCACUGAGG